UACAGACCUGAAGCAAGAUCUGGGCCCUUCCCAGGACGCUCUGACUGCCCGCUGGCUCCUCCGUGCUCCCCGGCAAGGCCAGCUGGCCUGGGCUCCCAAAAGGAGAGCUUCACACGCUGUGCUCAGGGGUGGAGAUGAUGCGAACAGAACGUGCACCUCAACUGGCAGUUUAGAAACGGAGACAGUGUGAUGCCUAACCUUGUUUUUACUCUAACUCGCUACUUUAAAUUUUGCCCUGUUUGUCUCUUUAGUCACCUAGCCUUGUUUCUCCUGUAAAUAAGACUCUCUCUAGCUGGGAAAGCCGGACAAACUCCAAUUGACCCCUUAAUUUACAAGACACUAAGGGCUCCUUACCCAACCCCCUUCCGCAAGGAGUAGACCUGUGUAAGCAGAUCCUCAGCAUUUCAAAGGAGCCGAUUAACUGAUAAGGUACUGGCACCAACAAUGUCUGAAGUUCCCAGGAUUCUUCUCAAAGAGAUAACAACAUAAAGCCUUGAGUUCGUGUCCGGCAUAGCAUCUAUAUCUAACUAUAAUGAAGGAUUUAGAGCCCUGCACCUGGUACCGUUGCUUUUUGUAACCAUUUGUCUUUUAAAUUGUUUAUCGCUUUGUAACCAUUUGCUUCUUUUGAUUCUUGCAUGUUUUUACUUCUGUAGAAUUAUUGCAUUUGAGUUCCCCUCCCCUUCCUAAACCAAGGUAUACAAGUUAAUCAAGUCCCUUCCUCUGGGCUGAGAGAAUUUUGAGCGUUAACCGUCUCUUUGGCUGCCGGCUUAAAUAAAGGACUCUUAAUUCGUUUCAGUGUGGCGUUUUCUCUAACUUGCCUGGGUACAACAACAGGAAACUGCCCACCGCAGUGCCGUGAUCACACUGGCGAACAACAUGAAGGACCAUUGAACCAAAAUGAAGAAAGAAUUCUCCUGGAGAAACAGUCGCAUGAGGGGCAGACCCUUGAAGGCCGUGCUCCACCUGGCCAGUUACAGAUCGGGAUACCGAGCGCCCAGAGGCUUACCAGGCUCUGUCCCAGGACGCGCUGAGGGUGCUGGCUGCGUGGCCUCACUGGCUGAGCAGGCCCACCACAGCGGCAAGCGAGGCUCAGAGGGCUUGGCAGUGUGAAAGGAAAAUAUCACUAAGCUAAAGGGAAAAGUCAAGCUGGGAACUGCUCAGGGCAAACCUGCCUCCCAUUCUAUUCAAAGUCACCCUUUGCUCACUGAGAUGAAUGCGUCUCUCACUGCCUCCUUUGGAGAGGCUCAUCAGAAACUCAAAAGAAUGCAACCAUCUGUCUCUUACCUACCUAUGACCCGGAAGCCUCCUCCCCACUUGGAGUUGUCCCGCCUCUCCAGACGGAACCACUGUUCAUCUUACAUAUGUUGAUUGAUGUCUCUUGUCUCCCUACAAUGUGUAAAACCGAGCUGUGCUCUGACCACCUCGGAACACGUCGUCAGGACCUCCUGAGGCUGUGUCACGGGCGCGCAUCCUCAACCUUGGCAAAAUAAACCUUCUAAAUUAA